rnacentral:rRNA from 1 species
UGGGGAAUCUUGCACAAUGGGCGAAAGCCUGAUGCAGCAACGCCGCGUGCGGGAAGACAGCCCUAGGGUUGUAAACCGCUUUCAGCAGGGAAGAAACUGACGGUACCUGCAGAAGAAGAUGCGGCCAACUACGUGCCAGCAGCCGCGGUGACACGUAGGCAUCAAGCGUUAUCCGGAUUUAUUGGGCGUAAAGAGCUCGUAGGCGGUUCGGUAAGUCGGGUGUGAAAACUCUGGGCUCAACCCAGAGAGGCCACCCGAUACUGCUGUGACUCGAGUGCAGUAGGGGAGCAGGGAAUUCCUGGUGUAGCGGUGAAAUGCGCAGAUAUCAGGAGGAACACCAGUGGCGAAGGCGCUGCUCUGGGCUGUAACUGACGCUGAGGAGCGAAAGCAUGGGUAGCAAACAGGAUUAGAUACCCUGGUAGUCCAUGCCGUAAAACGUUGGGCACUAGGUGU